rfam:Felis catus isolate Cinnamon breed Abyssinian chromosome A3, whole genome shotgun sequence.
GCCUGACUGGCUCAGUUGAUAGAGCAUGUGACUCUUGAUCUCGAGGUCAUGAGUUCAAGCCCCAUGUUGGGUG